rnacentral:rRNA from 1 species
GACGAACGCUGGCGGCGUGCUUAACACAUGCAAGUCGAACGAAGUGGCGAACGUGUGAGUAACGCGUAAUCAACCUGCCCUUCAGAGGGGGACAACAGUUGGAAACGACUGCUCAUACCGCAUACUGACGGAGGGGAUGGCGUCUGCUUAGCUCGUUGGAGGGGUAACGGCCCACCAAGGCGAUGAUCAGUAGCCGGUCUGAGAGGAGGAACGGCCAGAUUGGGACUGAGACACGGCCCAGACACCUACGGGAGGCAGCAGUGGGGAAUAUGGGACAAUGGGGGAAGUCCUGAUACAGCCAGCCCGCGUGUGCGAUGAAGGCAUUCGGGUUGUAAAGCACUUUUUGCAGGAAAGCGGUACCUGCAGAAUAAGCACCGGCUAACUACGUGCCAGCAGCCGCGGUAAUAC